UGUACUUUAUGUCUUUUUAGGUCCAGAAUCUCUAUUUAAACAUAUCUGAAUAUGGAUUAAAUGGCAAAUGGACUGCACUUAUGUAGCACUAUAGUCUUUGUGACCACUUUAAUCGCUUUACAAGUGAGGUUAUCCUAUCAUCAGGAAUUAAUUCACACAACGCAGCAUCGGGAGCAUUAUGGGGUUCAGUAUCUUGCCCAUGGAUACUUCGACAUGUAGAGGCUGCUUGAAGCUGCUUGAAGCUGCAGCUAUUUUAGGAUUAAGAUACACUGAAAAAACCUGAAAACGAGUCAAAACCUUAGCUAUUGGCUUAAUUGUUUACAUCAGGGGGUAAAGGGUCGCUGUGGUUGCAGCACGAGCACACCUGAUACAACCCAUUUAAUCACCUGAACUGUGCACUCAAUCAGGUGUUCUCCUGCAAAAACCUGCAGCCACACCGACGCUUUCAAGGAUCAGUUUGACAACUCAAACACGAUCAAUCAAUGCUACUCGGACAAACUGCUCUUGCAAAUGUAAACCAGGCCUAUAGAUGCAGAUAUCUGCCUUCAGAGAUUCAGCUGGAGGUGCAGAAUAAUCUCAGAGUCUGAAUUUUUUUAGGUAAUCUUUGACUUCUCCGGCUCUCUGCUGGGAGGUGGCUGGAGGAUCCUGAAACUGCAGUUGUUGAGGAGUUUUGCUGCAAAUCGAUAAAACCAGAAUCACCACCUGCACCUGAUGAAGGUCAAAGGUCCUGCUGCAUUUCUCCAGCAGGAGCUUCCGUCCUCAGUGAGGAUUUAGUGACAGUCUUUGUGUGGAUGUGGCUGGACAGCGGUCAGGGUGUCACCUCCAGCUUCCUCAUUAGGACUCGUGCUCUGAAUGCAAAGUGUUGAAAGUGACAGCGGAUUAAAGCGUGCAGAGUGAUGAUGCCGGAGCAGCCGUAGAGGGACGGGAGACACUGACGGAGCUCCUGUCCCUCGCUGACUUUGACUGCAGUGUCAUUUACACAGACCGUCUGUGUACAUUAUCUUCUACAACACCAGGAUUCAUCAUGGAGUCUGUUUCUGCAGGAAUCUGCUCAGAACGGCUUCUAAAUACCAGGUUUCAUGGAGUGUUUUAUCACAGAGCUGGAUCACGUCAUCUGAAACAAUUUUUAAAAAAUAACCUGUACAUUAUUAUGGCAAAUAUCAAUCAUCAAACACACAGCUUCUUAAUAUAUUUUCCUCAUUUUUUAAUCAAUAAUUAAUAAUCAGUUUUUCUUCCAUUAUAAACAUUUUUUUAAUCGUUUCUGUCUUAAUAUUCAACAGUAAAAUAUAUAUAUAUUUU